rnacentral:rRNA from 1 species
AUGGCAUCUGGUAAUCAGUCGUUCGAAGACAAUGGGAACCCAUUAGAUUUAGCGCCCGAGUCGCUAAGGAACAUGGCAGAUUUGCCGUCUAGAGUGACGUUACCUCCACCGCCACCAUUACCCCCUCAUGCCCCGGGAUCCGAUCAACUUUCUCUAAUGUACCAGUGGAUGGAGCAAUCUCGUCGAGACUCUCUAGAACACCAGAAUAAGUUCAUGGAACAGAUGUUUGGUAUGAUGAGAGGCCAACUGACUAAAAACUCAGAACAAGGUGUCACGAUUGGAGACUUCCAAAAGACUAGACCACCAACCUUCUCAACUGCCACACAUCCAUUAGCCGCAGAUGAUUGGUUGAUGGACAUAGAGCUGAAACUUAGCACUGUGGGAUGCACGGAUCAAGAAAAGGUUCGGUAUGCAUCCCAUCAGUUAAUUGGUCCUGCUGCCACAUGGUGGAGAAAUGUCCAAAUUAUCAUACCAGAAAACCACAUAGUCACUUGGGACGAAUUUAAGAGGAGAUUCCGAGAUAACUAUGUCCCGCAAAGUGCGAUGGAAAUAAAAAGGAAGGAAUUCCUGAACCUUAAGCAAGGGUCUAAAACCAUCGCAGUGUACCUAGAUGAAUUUAACUCACUAUCCCGCUAUGCACCAGAGGACACAAACACUGAGACCAAAAAGGUGUACCGGUUCAUAGAAGGAUUGAACCCAUCCAUACAACUGAUUAUAGCUCCUAUAAAAAUAACUGAGUUCCGGGAGCUAGUAGACCGAUUCAUUACAAUCGAGAACCGGCAAAUCACCAUAGAGGAAGAGCACAGGAAGAAAGCUAGGAUGGACCCAAGGUUUGCCAUGAAAAGUGGAAAUCGUCCUGUUGGCCUAGUCCGCGUGCCAAUGGCCGGGCCCGUCCGUCCUCCUUUCUGUCAAGCUCCUAGACCACCUUUUAUGCCUCCGAGAGGCCCUAUCAAAUGUCAUGUGUGCAGUGGACCACACUUGGCUCGAGAUUGCCCAAAGGCGAGUGUUGUUUGUUUUGGUUGUGGGCAAAAGGGACACUACAAAACCAGUGCCCAAGCAAGAGUCAACCACAAUCUGGUACAAAUGGAGCUGUCCCACCUCAAAAUAAGCGUCAGGCUAAUUCAGCCCAAGUACACGGGAAUGCGUCUACUGCCAACCGCGGGCGUGGUCGUGGCGGUCUCACAUGUGGACCAUUCCGCCUGGCGCAUAUGGAUGUGGCACAAGUGGAGUCGGCUUCAGACAUAG